ACGAACGCUGGCGGCAGGCUUAACACAUGCAAGUCGAGCGCCCCGCAAGGGGAGCGGCCGACGGGUGAGUAACGCGUGGGAACGUACCCUUAUCUUCGGGAUAGCCCCGGGAAACUGGAAUUAAUACCGAAUGUGCCCUUUGGGGGAAAGAUUUAUCGGAUAAGGAUCGGCCCGCGUUGGAUUAGCUAGUUGGUGGGGUAAAGGCCUACCAAGGCGACGAUCCAUAGCUGGUCUGAGAGGAUGAUCAGCCACAUUGGGACUGAGACACGGCCCAAACUCCUACGGGAGGCAGCAGUGGGGAAUAUUGGACAAUGGGCGCAAGCCUGAUCCAGCCAUGCCGCGUGAGUGAUGAAGGCCUUAGGGUUGUAAAGCUCUUUCACCGGAGAAGAUAAUGACGGUAGCCGGAGAAGAAGCCCCGGCUAACUUCGUG
rnacentral:rRNA from 1 species